UUAUUCUUUUCAGGUAUCUCCUUUACAUAUGAGAAUGCAAGGGACCUUGCCUGUCAAAGCACUCCUUCUGAAAGAUGUGACAGCCAAAGCAAAAGUCUGCCUUUUUGGAGAUAAUGCCUCAAGUAACUAUGCUAGAGAAGAUGUUGUACAAGUGUCAGCAGUUUUUCUUAAAACAUUUCAAAACCAGAAACAAUUAACAACAUCCCCCAUCUCUAAAUGCCAGUUCUUAUCAGACAUGCCCGAAAUCAUAAUAAAUCAAGACGAUGAGGAGACUGCAGACCCAGAUUUUUAAGAACCUUUAGAUGUAGAAGAAAUGCACGAAAUCACCUUGACAGAUUUCAUGGAUGUUGAUUACUACAAAUGUUGCAGUGCCAAAGCCUGUCGACAAAAGAAGUACCAGGGAGGAAAGUGUCCCAUCUGUAACAGGACAGACUCAAUCAUGUUUUCGUUCAGAGUCAAUUUCCAUUACUCAACUGAAAAAGAAAAGGAUAAAAAAAAAAUAGCCUUAUUCCCUUCCA